rnacentral:rRNA from 1 species
CUUGAAUACAUUAGCAUGGAAUAAUGAAUAGGACGUUCGAUCCUAUUUGUUGGUUUCUAGGAUUGACGUAAUGAUUAAUAGGGAUAGUUGAGGCAUUAGUAUUCAAUUGUCAGAGGUGAAAUUCUUGGAUUUAUUGAAGACUAACUACUGCGAAAGCAUUUGCCAAGGAUGUUUUCAUUAAUCAAGAACGAAAGUUAGGGGAUCGAAGACGAUCAGAUACCGUCGUAGUCUUAACCAUAAACUAUGCCGACUAGGGAUCGGAUGAUGUUAAUUUUUUAAUGACUCAUUCGGCGCCUUACG